rnacentral:rRNA from 1 species
GCCUUUAGUCGGGUGGCGCGAAAUGUGACGUAUAGGUGUUGCACUACCGAUUCGUGUGAACGUGCGCUCGAAGUCUUUUUGAAUAAGGCUUUAGCCUCAGAGGGUGCAAGCCCCGUACGAGCGCUCGGCGCGGACGGUGUAUGUGUUGCGCUUUGGAGUCGGGCUGCUUGAAAGUGCAGUCUAAAGUUGGGUGAUAAACAUCAUCUAAAGCUAAAUACGAAUACGAAUUCGAUAGCAAACAAGUACCGUGAGGGAAAGUUGCAAAGAACUUUGAAAAGAGAGUUCAAGAGAGCGUGAAACCACCGGAGUGGAAGCGGAGAGAGCCGACGUAGUCUUGUGGCAAAGCCGUUCGCGCCUCGGCGAUACAUCGUGAUCGUCCGAGCGUAGCGGUCGUCGCCGCUGUGACUGCAUCGACGGCGUUGACGUUCGUGCGCAUUCACGAGUCCGUCCAAUCGUUGCCCCGACGUUGGCUUGCUAGCGUUGGGUGUCUUGUUGGUCGCGGUACUCUGGUUUGUCGCCGUCAGCGUUGUGUACUCGAUUGUCGUUCGCGGCAUUGUGCGUCGAUGUGAAAGUCGGUCACCUCUCCGGCCCGUCUUGAAACACGGACCGUGGAGUAUAGCUACUAUGCGAGUCGAAGAGUGCUCAAAACUCUAUAUCGGCGUAAUGAAAGUAAAGAUCGUCUCGUACGGUUGACAUGGGAUUUGGUGGCCUCCGUGGCCGCCAACGCACCAUGGUCCUAUCCGAGGGGCUUGCCCCUGGGUAGAGAUAGAGCAUAGUGGCUGUGACCCGAAAGAUGGUGAUCUAUGCUUGAGCCGGAUGAAGCCAGUGGAAACUCUGGUGGAGGUCCGCA